UACGGGGGGGGCAAGCGUUGUUCGGAAUUACUGGGCGUAAAGGGCUCGUAGGUGGCCAACUAAGUCAGACGUGAAAUCCCUCGGCUUAACCGGGGAACUGCGUCUGAUACUGGAUGGCUUGAAUUCGGGAGAGGGAUGCAGAAUUCCAGGUGUAGCGGUGAAAUGCGCAGAUAUCUGGAGGAACACCGGUGGCGAAGGCGGCAUUCUGGACCGACAUUGACGCUGAGGAGCGAAAGCCAGGGGAGCAAACGGG
rnacentral:rRNA from 1 species